GAUGAACGCUAGCGGCAGGCCUAACACAUGCAAGUCGAGGGGUAGAACACUUCGGUGUUUGAGACCGGCGCACGGGUGCGUAACGCGUAUGCAAUCUACCUUGUACAGGGGAAUAGCCCAGAGAAAUUUGGAUUAAUGCCCCAUAGUAUAUAACCUUCGCAUGUUGGUUAUAUUAAAGUUCCAACGGUACAAGAUGAGCAUGCGUCCCAUUAGUUAGUUGGUAAGGUAACGGCUUACCAAGACGAUGAUGGGUAGGGGUCCUGAGAGGGAGAUCCCCCACACGGGUACUGAGACACGGACCAGACUCCUACGGGAGGCAGCAGUGAGGAAUAUUGGUCAAUGGGCGCAAGCCUGAACCAGCCAUGCCGCGUGCAGGAAGACGGUCCUAUGGAUUGUAAACUGCUUUUAUACAGGAAGAAACCCUCCCACGUGUGGGAGAUUGACGGUACUGUAGGAAUAAGGAUCGGCUAACUCCGUGCCAGCCGCCGCAGUAAUAC
rnacentral:rRNA from 1 species